GUUUUUAUAGUUUAAAAUAAAACAUUGGUCUUGUAAACCUAAAAUAAGAAAAAUCUUUAAAAACU
rnacentral:tRNA from 1 species